AACGGGAGAAGUGCUUCACUGUGGAGAUCAGAGUUCCUGAGGGAAAGAAGAACCCAUCAAAUCCCCCUCAGGAGCUAUUUUUCAGGAGGAUCCCUUGGGAAGAUCAAAGUCAGGACACCUCAGGAGAG